GAUGAAGAACGUAGCGAAAUGCGAUAAGUAAUGUGAAUUGCAGAAUUCAGUAAAUCAUCGAGUCUUUGAACGCACAUUGCGCCCGCUAGUAUUCUGGCGGGCAUGCCUGUUCGAGCGUCAUUUCAACCAUCAAGCCCUGUUUAGGCUUGUGUUGGGGCCCUGCGGUUGCCGCAGCCCCCUAAAUGCAGUGGCGGGCUCGUUGUCACUCCGAGCGCAGUAGCGUAUCUCGCUCUGGGCGUGGCGGCGGGUGCUAGCCGUGAAACACCCACUAAGGUUGACCUCGGAUCAGGUAGGAAUACCCGCUGAACUUAAGCAUAUCAAUAAGCGGAGGA
rnacentral:misc_RNA from 1 species